rnacentral:lncRNA from 1 species
CCCAGGGAAAGGCGUGGGGUCAGAGGAUUUGGCUCUGUCACACCAUUCACUGCCUGCCCUUCUUCCCAGCGCUUCCAAGAUCUGGUUGUAUUAAACACGAGAAUGAAGAGAGGAAAACACCUUCGCCCACGGUGUGCUCUGGGGACAUCUCCAGGUGUGGGUGGUGGCGUCAGCCACAGGACAGAUGGAGUUUCACUCUUGUCACCCGGGCUGGAAUGCAAUGGCACAAUCUUGGCUCACUGCAACCUCUGCCUCCCAGGUUCAAGCAAUUCUCCUGCCUCAGCCUCCCAAGUAGCUGGGACUACAGGCACCCGUCACCACGCCCGGCUAAUUUUUGUAUUUUUAGUAGAGCCUAUUGUCCAGGCUGGCCUCAAACUCCUGACCUCAGGUGAUCUGCCCGCCUCAGCCUCCCAAAGUGCUGGGAUUACAGAGAUGAGCGACUGCACCCUGCCAGCUUUUGACUUUUUUCAAAAAAAUUAUUCUUUGAUCACCUUAUGAUGUGCCAGGGAGAAGGAGGGGUGCUUCUGGCCUCGCUUGUGCCACCCUUACCCAAAAUCCAGGCACAUGUGCUGUCGAGGCUCCACGCAAGACCCCAGGAACUCCUGGGUCUUUGCUACCGCCAGAGGGUUGCACCUGCUUCUCAGACAGAAGACCCCCGUCUCAUGGUUUCUCUUUCUCAGGCCUCCAAACCCCUGGUUAUUUCAUCUUUGAAAUGAGUGUUUCAUAUGCAAUUAACCUAUGUUGAAACUUUACCAACUCUAAAGUGAAAUUAUACUUCCUUCCUACAUCUAACUCUACCUAACCAUAGAGUUCCCCUCCCGAGUAUUUCUGAAAGUUUCCCAGGGACAGCUUUGCACAGCUCCAGAAAGUAUCUCUCACUCUCACUCUACCCUUUUCUUCUUGCUGCCAUGAUUCUGCCUCUGUAGCUUAUGGGACUGGCGACUUAGUGACUCUGCCAGGCCUUGGGAAGGAGACAUUGCCCUCCCCAACCCCCCACAGCUCAUCUGACCACAGGUUCCACUGAGUUGGGGCAUAAAGAAAGCAGCCUUAGAAAUUUCCAUCUGCCUCCAGAGGAGAAGUGUCUUGUACCCAAAGGCCUCCAUUUGGCAGGGGCCACUUUAGCUCCCACCAACAGCAAUAUACAGGCCCCCUUUCUCCACAGAGAGAGGAAGAAAUCCCUCCCUUUCCAGCCCACAACACUCUUCCUUGCCUGCCUUGGGAUGACAGACCAUGAGGACACCCCUUUCUGUUAGGGGCAAUCUCCCUCCUCCCUCCACACCUGAAGGUGUGGUCUGACCCUUUCCCCUCUGAGAAAAUAAACCACCAUCUUAGUGUCCAG